rnacentral:rRNA from 1 species
ACGAACGCUGGCGGCGUGCUUCACACAUGCAAGUCGAACGGUGAAGCGCCUUCCUUUUUGGUGGGUGUGGAUGAGUGGCGAACGGGCGAGUAACACGUGAGUAACCUGCCCCCUUCUUCUGGAUAACCGCAUGAAAGUGUGGCUAAUACGGGAUAUUCUGGGUCUGUCGCAUGAUGGGUCUGGGAAAGAUAUUGUUUCGGUGGGGGAUGGGCUCGCGGCCUAUCAGCUUGUUGGUGGGGUGAUGGCCUACCAAGGCGGUGACGGGUAGCCGGCCUGAGAGGGUGGACGGUCACACUGGGACUGAGACACGGCCCAGACUCCUACGGGAGGCAGCAGUGGGGAAUACUGCACAAUGGGCGCAAGCCUGAUGCAGCGACGCCGCGUGAGGGAUGGAGGCCUUCGGGUUGUGAACCUCUUUCGCCAGUGAAGCAGGCCUGCCUCGUUUGUGGGUGGGUUGACGGUAGCUGGAUAAGAAGCGCCGGCUAACUACGUG